rnacentral:lncRNA from 1 species
GAUUGUAACAGCUUGUGGACGAGGGAAUCUGGUGAGACGUUUAAUCCUGGUUGAAAAUACUAACCGGGACUAAAGACCCUCCCAUAGUCCCGGUUGGGGGGCCUUUAGUCCCCCCUCUCUCCACCUUAUUUGAAUCGAAGAGGGUUAGUACUUAGUAGUCACUGCCUCACGGACACCGAGUCACCGCCUCACUGACACCAAGUCGCCCAUAUGGCAUGCAUUAUGGUUUCCAAAUGACACAAGCCACUCAAAAUGGCACAUGAUCACGAGACUGGGGCAUUACAUUUUUCUCAAAAAUGAAAUUUUAUUGAUUUUCAAGAACAUUACAACUACAUCGACUCAAAAAAAACACUCAUAUCCGUACAGGACCAAAUUAAAUAAGCUUUGUAAAAAAACACAUACAAGCCAAUUACAAAUAUAAAUCCGUAGACUUAACCAUAUACUCACGUGUUAGUUGGUAAAGAACUCCUUUUGACCACGUGCGAUAACCUUUACUAUGUUAUCAGACGUGUGAUCCGAUGCAGGACGAAGCAGCAGGGAUCAGUGAUGCUGAGGGUCCGGCCCUCCGGGGCUCAGCCUCUUGGACGCGGCUACGCUGCCGUCUCCCCCAGCGGCAGCAGCCUCGUCGCCUGGCACCUGCAGUGCCGGCAUUUCCACUUGAACCUGCAGAGGGCCCGUCGCCGCCAAUGAUGCCGCCACGGCCACGGCCGUCUCUCGCCCGGUCCCCAGCAGCUGCCGCGCCGCGCCGGCGCCCGGUGAGCACAGGGACACGACGGCCGCCGCCAGCAGCAAUGCGCUCGUGACAACAACGCUGAAUUGCUUCGCCAUUUGGAUCAGUGCAGGGAGCUGGCAAGGUUGAGCUCAAUAAAACUUGCUUGGUUUUAUUGCGUGAGGUUAUGCUUGUGUACGAGUGUGCGUGGUACGGAC